rnacentral:tRNA from 1 species
GGCCGUGUGCCCGAGUGGUUGAGGGAUUCGCCUGCAAAGCGAAGCACACGGGUUCGAUUCCCGUCACGGCCU